UACGGAGGGGGCUAGCGUUGUUCGGAAUUACUGGGCGUAAAGCGCGCGUAGGCGGCUUUGCAAGUCGGGUGUGAAAUCCCCCAGGCUUAACCUGGGAACUGCAUUCGAGACUGCAUUGCUAGAGUAUGGGAGAGGGAAGUGGAAUUUCCGGUGUAGCGGUGAAAUGCGUAGAUAUCUGGAGGAAUACCGAUGGCGAAGGCAGCCCCCUGGGUUAACACUGACGCUCAUGUACGAAAGCGUGGGGAGCAAACAGG
rnacentral:rRNA from 1 species